GAUGAACGCUGGCGGCGUGCUUAACACAUGCAAGUCGAACGGGAAACCUUUUAUUGAAGCUUCGGCCGAUUUAGCUGGUUUCUAGUGGCGGACGGGUGAGUAACGCGUGGGUAACCUGCCUUAUUCAGGGGGAUAACAGUCAGAAAUGGCUGCUAAUACCGCAUAAGCGCACAGAGCUGAAUGGCUCAGUGUGAAAAACUCCGGUGGCAUAAGAUGGAUCCGCGUUGGAUUAGCUGGUUGGUGGGGUAACGGCCCACCAAGGCGACGAUCCAUAGCCGGCCUGAGAGGGUGAACGGCCACAUUGGGACUGAGACACGGCGCAGACUCCUACGGGAGGCAGCAGUGGGGAAUAUUGCACAAUGGGGGAAACCCUGAUGCAGCGACGCCGCGUGAAGGAAGAAGUAUCUCGGUAUGUAAACUUCUAUCAGCAGGGAAGAUAAUGACGGUACCUGACUAAGAAGCCCCGGCUAACUACGUG
rnacentral:rRNA from 1 species